ensembl:snoRNA
UGAGACUGAAAAUCUUCCCAGACUUUACAGUGGUCUGUGGUUAGAUAACUUAGCCUAAAUUACUCUGGUGCUUUAGCUUAUCGCCAGCUCUGCAUAGUAGCUGAGUGAUAAAACCCAUGCGCCAACAAAU